rnacentral:rRNA from 13 species
GGUGGGUAGUUUGACUGGGGUGGUCGCCUCCAAAAGAGUAACGGAGGCUUUCAAAGGUACCCUCAGUACGCUUGGUAACCGUGCGUAGAGUGCAAUAGCAUAAGGGUGCUUGACUGUGAGGCCUACAAGCCGAGCAGGUACGAAAGUAGGAUAUAGUGAUCCGGCGGUUCUGUAUGGAAGGGCCGUCGCUCAAAGGAUAAAAGGUACUCCGGGGAUAACAGGCUGAUCUCCCCCAAGAGCUCAUAUCGACGGGGAGGUUUGGCACCUCGAUGUCGGCUCGUCGCAUCCUGGGGCUGGAGUAGGUCCCAAGGGUUGGGCUGUUCGCCCAUGAAAGCGGUACGCGAGCUGGGUUUAGAACGUCGUGAGACAGUUCGGUCCCUAUCCGCCGCGCGCGUUGGAGACUUGAGGAAGGCUGUCCCUAGUACGAGAGGACCGGGAUGGACGAACCUCUUGUGUUCCAGUUGUCCUGCCAAGGGCACGGCUGGGUAGCGAAGUUCGGUUAUGAUAACCGCUGAAUGCAUAUAAGCGGGAAGCAUGCCCUAAGAUGAGAUCUCCCAACCCAAAAGGGUAAUGAAGGGCCCAGGAAGACGACUUGGUUGAUAGGCUGGAGGUGGAAGCGCAGUAAUGUGUGCAGCUUACCAGUACUAAUCGCCC